GAUGAACGCUGGCGGCGUGCCUAAUACAUGCAAGUAGAACGCUGAAGGAAGGAGCUUGCUCUUUCCGGAUGAGUUGCGAACGGGUGAGUAACGCGUAGGUAGCCUGCCUGGUAGCGGGGGAUAACUAUUGGAAACGAUAGCUAAUACCGCAUAACAGUAGAUAUUGCAUGAUAUCUGCUUGAAAGGGGCAAUUGCUCCACUACCAGAUGGACCUGCGUUGUAUUAGCUAGUUGGUGAGGUAACGGCGCACCAAGGCGACGAUACAUAGCCGACCUGAGAGGGUGAUCGGCCACACUGGGAGUGAGACACGGCCCAGACUCCUACGGGAGGCAGCAGUAGGGAAUCGUCGGCAAUGGACGGAAGUCUGACCAAGCAACGCCGCGUGAGUGAAGAAGGUUUUCGGAUCGUAAAGCUCUGUUGUAAGAGAAGAACGAGUGUGAGAGUGGAAAGUUCACACUGUGACGGUAUCUUACCAGAAAGGGACGGCUAACUACGUG
rnacentral:rRNA from 1 species